GCCAGAGGAGAAGGAUGUGACGGGUUCCUCCAGCGGGAUUAUUUGGGACGUGGAUCUGACCGGACGCCGUCAGCCUCCCCAGGCCUGAGCCGCGGUCAGGAUGCGACCAUCUAACCGAACUUGCCUUCCUUCGCAAGGAGCCGACGCGUGAUCCCGGCCGGCCGUCUCCAACCGAGACGUACUCGAGUUAAACAGAUAAAGCUGGAAAGUAACCUGGCGCACUGGAUGCAAAGACAGAGGAAGGCGCAACAGUGGCUUGUGGAGCUGCAGGCCCCGCGUUCUUCAUUGCCAUCCCUGUGAAAACUCAACCUGCAGCGAGAAGCUCCUGGGAUUGCUCCUGUCCCAUGGCCAGGUGCUUGGUGGCUUGAACGUCUCCUGUCUGUCAAAAACCUGAAUUCCAGUCUGAGGAUCAUAUUCAAACCCCCUGCUUUUCAGCUAGAAUCAUAGAAUCACAGAAUGGUUUGGGUUGGAAAGGACCUUUUUUGAAGGUCACCUAGUCCAACCCCCCUGCAAUGAGCAGGGACAUUUUCAACCAGACCAGGUUGCUCAAAGCCCCGUCCAGCCUGACCUUGAAUAUUUCCAGGGAUGGGGCAUCUACAACCUCUCUGGGCAACCUGUUCCAGCAUCUCACCGCCCUCAUUGUAAAAAAUUUCAGAUCCAGGGGAACUUGUAACCUUGUCUGUCCAGGAGACAGAGGGUUUCUCAAGGACCAGUCCAAGACCCAAUGGCAGAAAUUCCCCAAGGAGAGUCACAGACAUACUUCUUUCUGCUCUCCAUUUAAGCUGUGCUUCCUGGUGCUGACUUCUCUAGCAAACAUCCAGAAGCACCUUAAAAAUAAAACACCAAAGUGAAAGAAGCCACUGAACAAGCAGACCUUCCAUGGGCAAGAGGAUGAGAGCGAGCAAGCAAACCACAUGUGACAGAUGUUAGGCGUGUUGCUGAAUGCAAUUCUGGAAGCCGCUCAGAUGCUGUGGUCAGGUGGGUGGUUGUUACAAACCUAUCUGGGCUAGAAAAGAGAAACAUUUCUCUAGCAAAUGAAAGAUAUCUGGUAGAGAAAGCACUGAGAGAUAAUAAACAUGCGGCAGAGAACUGCCGUUUGGGGAAAGGCUUUUUGGGGUGAAGCCGCGUCAUCGUGGUGCUUUCUAAGUAAGCGCCCCGUCACUUCAGAGUUGGGGAGGACAAGAUGCGCUCGUGGCAGCGUUACUGAGGCAGGCACCAGGCACGUGAAAGGCAGACCUGCCGUACCUCAGAGUACAAACUGGGCCCUACUAUCACGACAGCCUGCUUUUAACUGAACAGCCAGAUACUUCUGAGGGGGCUUUUCCCCCCCCCCCCCAGUUCCUGGGUGUCCUGCAUGGGUUUUGCGUGAAGCCCCGAAUGAGUGUUGUGAAUACUCGCUUUGAGGGAGGGUGCUUUGUGCUUGCUCUUCAGUUCGUCUCUUCGUCGGCUAAACAGUUCAGUGCACUGAACUCUUCUUUCUGUAGACUCUGUGCGCCUUUCGAAAAAGAAUAAAAAGAUUGUUUG